CCUACGGGAGGCAGCAGUGAGGAAUAUUGGUCAAUGGCCGUAAGGCUGAACCAGCCAAGUCGCGUGAAGGAAGAAGGAUCUAUGGUUUGUAAACUUCUUUUAUAGGGGAAUAAAGGUAUCCACGUGUGGAUAUUUGCAUGUACCCUAUGAAUAAGCAUCGGCUAACUCCGUGCCAGCAGCCGCGGUAAUACGGAGGAUGCGAGCGUUAUCCGGAUUUAUUGGGUUUAAAGGGUGCGUAGGUUGGUGUUUAAGUCAGCGGUGAAAGUUUGGGGCUCAACCAUAAAAUUGCCGUUGAAACUGGAAGACUUGAGUGUGUUUGAGGUAGGCGGAAUGCGUGGUGUAGCGGUGAAAUGCAUAGAUAUCACGCAGAACUCCGAUUGCGAAGGCAGCUUACUAAGCCAUAACUGACACUGAAGCACGAAAGCGUGGGUAUCAAACAGGAUUAGAUACCCCAGUAGUC
rnacentral:rRNA from 1 species